rfam:Brenneria goodwinii strain OBR1 genome assembly, contig: Contig
UUGCAGGACAAAACGCAUGGCGUUUUGAACAGCGCUUGCGCUGGCCCCGAAGGGGCGAAGCCGCAGGCUGAGUCACGCGGCGAC